rnacentral:rRNA from 1 species
CCUACGUGUGGCAGCAGUGAGGAAUAUUGGUCAAUGGGCGCGAGCCUGAACCAGCCAAGUCGCGUGAGGGAUGACGGCCCUACGGGUUGUAAACCUCUUUUGCCGGGGAGCAACGGGCGCCACGUGUGGCGCCACUGAGAGUACCCGGAGAAAAAGCAUCGGCUAACUCCGUGCCAGCAGCCGCCGUAAUACGGCGGUUGCGAGCGUUAUCCGCCUUUAUUUGGUUUAAAGGGUGCGUAGGCGGAUCGUUACGUCAGUGGUCAAGUUGAGGGGCUCAACCCCUUCCCGCCAUUGAAACUGGCGCUCUUGAGGGGAAGAGAGGUAUGCGGAAUGCGUGGUGUAGCGGUGAAAUGCAUAGAUAUCACGCAGAACCCCGAUUGCGAAGGCAGCAUGCCGGCUUCCGACUGACGCUGAAGCACGAAAGCGUGGGGAUCGAACAGGAUUAGAUACCCCAGUAGUC